GGACGAACGCUGGCGGCAUGCCUAACACAUGCAAGUCGAACGGAGAAUCGCUUCGGUGAUUCUUAGUGGCGAACGGGUGAGUAACGCGUAGGCAACCUGCCCUUCAGAUGGGGACAACACCUCGAAAGGGGUGCUAAUACCGAAUGACGUUUCCUAGUCGCAUGACCUGGAAACCAAAGGCCGGGCAACCGGUCACUGAAGGAUGGGCCUGCGUCUGAUUAGCUAGUUGGUGGGGUAACGGCCCACCAAGGCGACGAUCAGUAGCCGGUCUGAGAGGAUGAACGGCCACAUUGGGACUGAGACACGGCCCAAACUCCUACGGGAGGCAGCAGUGGGGAAUCUUCCGCAAUGGGCGCAAGCCUGACGGAGCAACGCCGCGUGAGUGAAGAAGGUUUUCGGAUCGUAAAGCUCUGUUGAGAGGGACGAGAGAUAUAAUCAGGAAAUGGGUUAUAGAGGACGGUACCUUUCGAGGAAGCCACGGCUAACUACGUG
rnacentral:rRNA from 1 species